UUUGUUACGCUUUUUCUGAAUUGAAAAGACCCCUUUUUUAAUACAUCUGGACAUCAAGGAUCAAUCAUAUGAGAAGGACGUAGCUCUGAAACCUCAGGAACGCGUGGAGAAGCGUCAGAAUCCUCUAGCCAAGAAAAAACGGGAAGCACUUACCAAUGGGCUGUCGUAUCUUCCGAAAAAGAACAGACUUCACCACCACCAGUACAGCUCUGACCGAGAAAAUGAUCGUAAUCUUUGUCAGCACCUUGGGAAAAGGAAGAAAAUACCGAAGGGCCUCAGACAGCUCAAGCCAGGUCAAAACAGUUGCCGAGACAGUGACAGUGAAAGUGCCAGUGGGGAAUCAAAAGGUUUCCAUCGAAGUAGCUCUCGGGAAAGACUCAGUGACAGCUCAGCUCCUUCCAGCUUGGGAACAGGCUACUUUUGUGACAGUGACAGUGAUCAAGAAGAAAAGGUAAGAAAGGAAAUCAGUAUGGGAGUAAAAAUAAUUUGUUGUAUUUGUUGGAUUAACUUAUUCCUCUUAUUCUGUUAUUUAUUCAGAGUUUCUUUUUGGAUUGAUCUAAAG
rnacentral:lncRNA from 1 species